UACGAAGGGGGCUAGCGUUGUUCGGAAUUACUGGGCGUAAAGGGCGCGUAGGCGGUGUGUCAAGUCAGGCGUGAAAGCCCCGGGCUCAACCUGGGAACCGCGCUUGAGACUGGCACGCUCGAGUUCGGGAGAGGAUGGUGGAAUUCCCGGUGUAGCGGUGAAAUGCGCAGAUAUCGGGAGGAACACCAAUGGCGAAGGCAGCUCGCUGGGACGUUACUGACGCUGAGACGCGAAAGCGUGGGGAGCAAACAGG
rnacentral:rRNA from 1 species